rfam:Andean potato latent virus replicase protein gene, partial cds; and virion protein gene, complete cds.
UAAUUGUGGACAGUUCCACUCCCUUUAGCACACAAAGGUCCAAUCGGGUGCGACUCCCCCCCCUCCUGUGGGCUACAGGAACC